rnacentral:rRNA from 1 species
CCUACGGGAGGCAGCAGUGGGGAAUAUUGGACAAUGGGCGCAAGCCUGAUCCAGCCAUGCCGCGUGUGUGAAGAAGGCCUUCGGGUUGUAAAGCACUUUUGUCCGGAAUGAAAAGCCUUGGGUUAAUACCCUGAGGUUCUGACGGUACCGGAAGAAUAAGCACCGGCUAACUUCGUGCCAGCAGCCGCGGUAAUACGAAGGGUGCAAGCGUUACUCGGAAUUACUGGGCGUAAAGCGUGCGUAGGUGGUUUGUUAAGUCUGAUGUGAAAGCCCUGGGCUCAACCUGGGAAUUGCAUUGGAUACUGGCAGGCUAGAGUGCGGUAGAGGAUGGCGGAAUUCCCGGUGUAGCAGUGAAAUGCGUAGAGAUCGGGAGGAACAUCUGUGGCGAAGGCGGCCAUCUGGACCAGCACUGACACUGAGGCACGAAAGCGUGGGGAGCAAACAGGAUUAGAUACCCUGGUAGUCCACGCCCUAAACGAUGCGAACUGGAUGUUGGGUGCAACUAGGCACUCAGUAUCGAAGCUAACGCGUUAAGUUCGCCGCCUGGGGGAGGUACGGUCGCGAGACGUAGAAACGUACGAAAGAAAGUUAGUACGGCGUGAGACGUUAGCCGACGGACGACGACGAGGGGAGGUAGG